GACGAACGCUGGCGGCGUGCUUAACACAUGCAAGUCGAACGGUGAACCUCUUCGGAGGGGAUCAGUGGCGAACGGGUGAGUAACACGUGGGCAACCUGCCCCCGGCUCUGGGAUAACUCCAAGAAAUUGGGGCUAAUACCGGAUGUUCACCGCUUCCCGCAUGGGUGGUGGUGCAAAGGGUUUCCGGCUGGGGAUGGGCCCGCGGCCUAUCAGCUUGUUGGUGGGGUAGGGGCCUACCAAGGCGACGACGGGUAGCCGGCCUGAGAGGGUGACCGGCCACACUGGGACUGAGACACGGCCCAGACUCCUACGGGAGGCAGCAGUGGGGAAUAUUGCGCAAUGGGCGGAAGCCUGACGCAGCGACGCCGCGUGGGGGAUGACGGCCUUCGGGUUGUAAACCUCUUUCAGCAGGGACGAAGCGCAAGUGACGGUACCUGCAGAAGAAGCACCGGCCAACUACGUG
rnacentral:rRNA from 1 species